GAUGAAGAACGUAGCGAAAUGCGAUAAGUAAUGUGAAUUGCAGAAUUCAGUGAAUCAUCGAAUCUUUGAACGCACAUUGCGCCCGCCAGUAUUCUGGCGGGCAUGCCUGUUCGAGCGUCAUUACAACCCUCAGGCCCCCGGGCCUGGCGUUGGGGAUCGGCGGAAGCCCCCUGCGGGCACAACGCCGUCCCCCAAAUACAGUGGCGGUCCCGCCGCAGCUUCCAUUGCGUAGUAGCUAACACCUCGCAACUGGAGAGCGGCGCGGCCACGCCGUAAAACACCCAACUUCUGAAUGUUGCCCUCGAAUCAGGUAGGAAUACCCGCUGAACUUAAGCAUAUCAAUAAGCGGAGGA
rnacentral:misc_RNA from 1 species